UACGUAGGGUCCGAGCGUUGUCCGGAAUUAUUGGGCGUAAAGAGCUCGUAGGUGGUUCGGUAAGUCGGAUGUGAAAUCUCCAGGCUCAACCUGGAGGGGUCAUUCGAUACUGCCGUGGCUAGAGGUCGGUAGGGGAGUGUGGAAUUCCUGGUGUAGCGGUGAAAUGCGCAGAUAUCAGGAAGAACACCCGUGGCGAAGGCGGUUCUCUGGGACGGUACUGACGCUGAGACGCGAAAGUGUGGGGGAGCGAACAGG
rnacentral:rRNA from 1 species